UACGGAGGGUGCAAGCGUUGUCCGGAUUUAUUGGGUUUAAAGGGUGCGUAGGUGGCCUGUUAAGUCUGCUCUGAAAGUUGGUCGCUUAACGAUCAAGGGUGGGUGGAUACUGGCGGGCUUGGAUCAGGUGGCGGUUUCUGGAACGGGUCGUGUAGCGGUGAAAUGCAUAGAUAUGACCCAGAACUCCGAUUGCGAAGGCAGGAGGCUACGCCUGGAUUGACACUGAGGCACGAGAGCAUGGGGAGCAAACAGG
rnacentral:rRNA from 1 species